AAAGUACUCCCUCCGUCCAAAAAUUCUUGUCUUGGAUUUGUCUAGAUACGGAUGUAUCAAGUCACAUUUUAGUAUUAGAUACAUCCAUAUCUAGACAAAUCUAAGACAAGAAAUUUGGGACAGAGGGAGUAGUUG
rnacentral:pre_miRNA from 1 species